UCCNGGCCCUACGGGGCGCAGCAGGCGCGAAAACUUCGCAAUACGCGCAAGCGUGACGAGGGGACCCCAAGUACUUCUGCUUUUUGCAGGAGUUUUUGCCAAGUGUAAACAGCUUGGAGAAUAAGGGCGGGGUAAGGCCGGUGCCAGCCGCCGCGGUAAUACCGGCCGCCCGAGUGGUGGCCACUAUUAUUGGGCCUAAAGCGCCCGUAGCCGGUUUUGUAAGUUUCUGGGUAAAUCCCACAGCUUAACUGCGGGAAUUCCAGAAAUACUGCAGGGCUAGGGGCCGGGAGACGCAGAAGGUACUCCUGGGGUAAGGGUGAAAUCUUAUAAUCCUAGGGGGACCACCAAUGGCGAAGGCAUUCUGCGAGAACGGGCUCGACGGUGAGGGACGAAAGCCAGGGGCGCAAACGGGAUUAGAUACCCCGGUAGUCCUGGCUGUAAACGCUGCAGGCUUGGUGUUACGUUCUCUACGUGGGGACGUAGUGCCGAAGAGAAGUCAGUAAGCCUGCCGCCUGGGAAGUACGUCCGCAAGAACGAAACUUAAAGGAAUUGGCGGGGGAGCACCACAAGGGGUGGAGGCUGCGGUUCAAUUGGAUUCAACGCCGGG
rnacentral:rRNA from 1 species